UACGGAGGGUGCGAGCGUUGUCCGGAAUCACUGGGCGUAAAGGGCGCGUAGGCGGCUCGUGAAGUCAGUGGUGAAAGCCCAGGGCUCAACUCUGGGUCGGCCACUGAUACUCGCGAGCUCGAGUUUGGUAGAGGCAGAUGGAAUUCCGGGUGUAGCGGUGGAAUGCGUAGAGAUCCGGAAGAACACCGGUGGCGAAGGCGGUCUGCUGG
rnacentral:rRNA from 1 species